CCUACGGGUGGCUGCAGUAGGGAAUAUUGGGCAAUGGACGCAAGUCUGACCCAGCCACGCCGCGUGAAGGAUGACUGCCCUAUGGGUUGUAAACUUCUUUUGUAUGGGAAGAAACCUCCGAACGUGUUCGGAGCUGACGGUACCAUAAGAAUAAGCAUCGGCUAACUCCGUGCCAGCAGCCGCGGUACUACGGAGGAUGCAGGCGUCAUCGGGAUUAAUUGGGGUGUAGGGGGAGAUUGAAGGCGGUGGUGAAAGCUCGCAGCUUAACUGUGAAAAUGCCAUUGAAACUGAUUUUCUUGAGUUCGAUUGAGGUAGAUGGAAUGUAUCAUGUAGCGGUGAAAUGCUUAGAUAUGAUACAGAACACCAAUUGCGAAGGCAGUCUACUAAGUCGAUACUGACGCUGAGGCACGAAAGCAUGGGGAGCAAACAGGAUUAGAUACCCCUGUAGUC
rnacentral:rRNA from 1 species